rnacentral:rRNA from 1 species
GAUGAACGCUGGCGGCGUGCCUAAUACAUGCAAGUCGAGCGAACAGAUGAGGAGCUUGCUCCUCUGACGUUAGCGGCGGACGGGUGAGUAACACGUGGAUAACCUACCUAUAAGACUGGGAUAACUUCGGGACACCGGAGCUAAUACCGGAUAAUAUAUUGAACCGCAUGGUUCAAUAGUAAAAGAAGGUUUUGCUGUCACUUUUAGAUGGAUCCGCGCCGCAUUAGCUAGUUGGUAAGGUAACGGCUUACCAAGGCAACGAUGCGUAGCCGACCUGAGAGGGUGAUCGGCCACACUGGAACUGAGACACGGUCCAGACUCCUACGGGAGGCAGCAGUAGGGAAUCUUCCGCAAUGGGCGAAAGCCUGACGGAGCAACGCCGCGUGAGUGAUGAAGGUCUUCGGAUCGUAAAACUCUGUUAUUAGGGAAGAACAAAUGUGUAAGUAACUAUGCACGUCUUGACGGUACCUAAUCAGAAAGCCACGGCUAACUACGUG